UUUUUUUUUUUUUUCUUUUCUUUUUUCUUCCCUUUCCUUCCUUUCUUUUUGGUUUAGAGAAGCCCUUUCAAUAUUUCCUUUAACCUGGGUUUUGUGUUGCUGUAUUCUUUAAGUUUUUGUUUGUUGGGAAAAAUUUUUAUUUCCCCUUCUAUUUUAAAUGAUAUUCUUGCUGGAUAAAGUAUUCUAGGUUGCAUAUUUUUUCCUUUGAGCACUUUAAAUAUCUCUUGCCAUUCCCUCCUGGCCUGUAGUGUUUCUGUAGAGAAAUCAGCUGAUAUUCUUAUGGGGGUUCCCUUGUAGGUAACAUUCUGUUUUUCUCUUGCUGCCUUUAGGAUCCUCUCUUUAUCACUAACUUUUGCCAUUUUUAUUAUGAUGUGUCUUGGUGUGGGUCUGUUUGGGUUCAGUUUGUUUGGGGCCCUCUGUGCUUCUUGUAUCUUGAAUCCAGUAUCCUUUAGAUUUGGGAAGUUUCCAGCGAUAAUUUCUUCAAAUAUAUUUUCCAUUCCUUUAUCUUUUUCUACUCCUUCUGGAAUUCCUAUUAUGCGUAGAUUGGCCCGUUUUAUAUUAUCCCAUAGGUCUCUUAUAUUGCUUUCCAGUUUUUUGAUUCGGUUUUCUGUCUGUUGACCAGAUUGAGUGAUUUCCAUUAUUCUAUCUUCCAUAUCACUGAUUCGUUCUUCUGCAUUAUUCAUUCUGGUUUUUACUGCCCCUAGUUCAGUUUGCAUCUCUGCAAAUGAAUGUUCUAGUUUUUCUUGGCUCCUCCUUAUAUUUUCUAGCUCCUUUCUGAGGGUAUCUGCAUUGCUGUUCAUAUCUUCUCUUAAUUCCUUCAGUAUUUUCACUAUUUCUCUUUUGAACUCCAGGUCUGUCAGACUGCAGAGAUCAGUUUCAUUGUUGACUGUUUUAGGUGAGUUCUCCUGUUGGUUUGACUGGGGGUGGUUUCUCAGCUUCUUCAUCUUGCUUGUUGUCUUCUUUCUCCUGAGGGAGUUGUACUCUCUGUUAUCGGGUAGUGUUUGCCUUGUCACUGCCCUGGAAUAUUUCCUGAGGGCUGUCGUUGUUGGUCAAUCUUUUUUUGAGGCAGUGUGGCUUUUCUGGAGUGUUGAUGGGACUAACAGUGUUUCUUUGAAGCAAAGGAGGACUUCCUGAGGGCAGACAGGACUGGGAGGUCCACCCCACGAUGGUAGCAGAUUUCACUUGGUUCUCAGCACCCCCUGGGGUCUUGGGCGGGUAGCAGGGCCCUUGGAGACUCAAGAGGUUCCUCCCCAGGGCAGCCCGACUCAGAAAGACCGUCUGAGAUCUUUUCCCGAUUCCGCCAGGCUUGUUGCAGCUUUUCUGGGCUGCAGGGGGUCCUGCCUGGAGCUGGCAGUCCUAUGCAGCUGGUCCACUAGGUCUCAGCACCCCUUGGGGUCUUGGGCGGGUAGCAGGGCCUUUGGAGACUCAAGAGGCUCCUCCCCAGAACAGCCCGACUCAGAAAGACCGUCUGAGAUCUUUUCCCAAGUCGGCCAGGCUUGUUGCAGCUUUUCUGGGCUGCAGGGGGUCCUGCCUGGAGCUGGCAGUCCUAUGCAGCUGGUCCACUAGGUCUCAGCACCCCUUGGGGUCUUGGGCGGGUAGCAGGGCCUUUGGAGACUCAAGAGGCUCCUCCCCAGAACAGCCCGACUCAGAAAGACCGUCUGAGAUCUUUUCCCAAGUCGGCCAGGCUUGUUGCAGCUUUUCUGGGCUGCAGGGGGUCCUGCCUGGAGCUGGCAGUCCUAUGCAGCUGGUCCACUAGGUCUCAGCACCCCCUGGGGUCUUGGGCGGGUAGCAGGGCCCUUGGAGGCUCAAGAGGCUCCUCCCCAGGACAGCCCGACUCAGAAAGACCGUCUGAGAUCUUUUCCCGAUUCGGCCAGGCUUGUUGCAGCUUUUCUGGGCUGCAGGGGGUCCUGCCUGGAGCUGGCAGUCCUAUGCAGCUGGUCCACUAGGUCUCAGCACCCCCUGGGGUCUUGGGCGGGUAGCAGGGCCCUUGGAGACUCAAGAGGCUCCUCCCCAGGACAGCCCGACUCAGAAAGACCGUCUGGGAUCUUUUCCCAAGUCGGCCAGGCUUGUUGCAGCUUUUCUGGGCUGCAGGGGGUCCUGCCUGGAGCUGGCAGUCCUAUGCAGCUGGUCCACUAGGUCUCAGCACCCCCUGGGGUCUUGGGCGGGUAGCAGGGCCCUUGGAGGCUCAAGAGGCUCCUCCCCAGGACAGCCCGACUCAGAAAGACCGUCUGAGAUCUUUUCCCGAUUCGGCCAGGCUUGUUGCAGCUUUUCUGGGCUGCAGGGGGUCCUGCCUGGAGCUGGCAGUCCUAUGCAGCUGGUCCACUAGGUCUCAGCACCCCCUGGGGUCUUGGGCGGCAAGGCCCUUGGAGACUCAAGAGGCUCCUCCCCGGGGGAGCCCGUCUCAGAAAAACCGUCAGAGAAUUAGGUCGAUCUAUUCACGGCCUGGCUAGGCUUGUUCUAGCUUUUCUGGGCUGCAGGCCUUUUUUAGGGGGCUGGUGGUGUUUGGUGCUGCUCUGUGGAAGUGUAGCCCCUCCAAAGGGCAAGCAGGCCUGUGCAGGGAGAGCCCCUGCGGUGGUAGGCUUCAGGCAAUUGUUGAGGCCAGCCCUCCUGGAUGGCAGGCAGCCCCAGGUUCGGCGAGAGCGUAGGGGGUGGUGGGGGUGGGGGGAGGGAAUGCACUGGGAAGCACAGCUUUCUGCUAGCUAGCGGGCCUGUAAGCUUGUUGUGGCGUGGGGGUAUUCUAUGGGGACCCACCCCUUCUUCUCUCCCCUCCCCAGCACUGGCGCAGACCAGGCUCUUCUCCCAGGUUCCCUCUGAGGCGGCUUUCCACUUCCCCGCCCCUAGAGUAUUGCUCCCUUCCUCUGCGACAGCUUUGUUUUCUAGUCUCCCAGGCAGUCUCUGCCCCGUCAAAUGGUUUAGAGACCUCCCAAGCAGUUUCCGCUCUUCCCCGCCCCCCUAGCCCGGGGACUAAUCUCUGGAGCCGAGGUCUCGGUGCCCAGCCCCCCCCCCAGGCGUCCCCCGGCCCUUUCUUGGGGACUAACCUUCGGAGGCGAGGUCUCGGUGCCCAGCCCCAACCCAGGCGUCCCCGGCCCCCUCUCGGGGACCAACCUUCAGAGCUGAGGUCUCGGUGCCCAGCCCCCACCCAGGCGUCCCCCGGCCCUUUCCCGGGGACUAACCUCUGGAGCCGAGGAUUCGGUGCCCAGCCCCCACCCAGGCGUCUCAAUUUUUGGUGACUGUGCCCGUAGUUCAGAUGGUCCGUUGGGUUCUUGAUCGUUUUUCCGUACUCCAACUUACUGC
rnacentral:lncRNA from 9 species